rnacentral:lncRNA from 1 species
GGACAAUACGAAUCGUAAAUAAUUACGCGAGUGCGGAACAAUAUGUGUCGUGAAUAAUUAUACGAUCGAAGUGAUUAUGUUUCAAUAUUUAUAUCUUAAUGUUUUAAUGUUUGUUGUUUGAUAGUCUAAUAACAUUUGUAAGAUACUUUAAAAUUGUAAAAUGACUAGGUCAAAUUCACUUUAUAAAUUAGACUAGGGCCCAGACCGCACGCCAAAACGCGUGGGCCAAUAAGAAGCAAGUGUCAAAACAAGAAAUUUGUAAAUAUUUUCUUAUUGGUCUAAUUUAACGCGCUCUGAUUGGUCGUCCAAUCAGAGCUUUAGAAAUAGUUUGCCCAAAAUUGUAUAAAAUGAGAGCCAUUGUAAGCCGCUCAAGCAGUCGGCAGGCAACAUUUAAAGAAUAAACAGAACUGAAGAAAGCGAC